GGAAGGGUGGCAGAGUGGCCGAAUGCACCGGUCUUGAAAACCGGCAAAGGGAAACCUUUCGUGGGUUCAAAUCCCACCCCUUCCGCCA
rnacentral:tRNA from 1 species